rnacentral:rRNA from 1 species
AGUGAGCGCUGGCGGCGUGCUUAACACAUGCAAGUCGAACGCGAAAGUGUAGCAAUACACGAGUAGAGUGGCGAACGGGUGAGUAAAGUGUGGGUAAUCUAGCUUCCAGAGGGGGAUAACCCGGCGAAAGCUGGGCUAAAACCGCGUAAAAUUUUGGAGUUUGCGGACUUUGAAAUCAAAACAUGGCCUCUAUUUAUAAGCUAUGGCUGGGAGAUGAGCCCACAUCCUAUCACGCUUGUUGGUGGGGUAACGGCCCACCAAGGCGACGACGGGUAGCCGGCCUGAGAGGGUGUCCGGCCACACUGGAACUGAGACACGGUCCAGACUCCUACGGGAGGCAGCAGUGGGGAAUUUUUUCGCAAUGGGCGCAAGUCUGACGAAGCAACGCCGCGUGGAGGAUGACGGCCCUAGCGGUCUUAAACUCCUGUCUAGCGGGACGAAACUCUUGCAAGUGAAUAAUUUGCGAGAUUGACUGUACCGCUGGAGGAAGCUCCGGCCAACUCCGUGCC